UAAAAAUUCUACUGAAAUCUUGCAACGGAAGUUCAUUUUGAUGUGGCUUUGCCGUUUCAGCACAAAGCUUUGGAUAUAAACUGUUUAUCGAAGAUACUAAACGCAUGUAUGGUAAGCCGCUAAAUUUUGACAUUCCGUCUAAUUUAUUGCAGUCGAAUUAUCAAAGCUACCUCGUACAAAAUCAUCAGCUACAUUGCAAAUUUUGGAACUUAUAGAAAAUGAAAAUAUUGAACAACAAAAAACAGUAGCUGGGUUGAUGUUGCUUCCGUCAUUUUGUGGAUAUUUGCAGUGCAGAUACAGCUAUAAGAGGAAUUUUAAAAGAGCGACAGAAUAGAAAGGAAGAAGUGCAGCCAUUCAUUACAUUAAUUGGAUCUCCGAUUGAAGCAGCGUGGUUACACGUAGCAGAUAUAAAAUAUA